UAGGGAAUCUUCGGCAAUGGACGGAAGUCUGACCGAGCAACGCCGCGUGAGUGAAGAAGGUUUUCGGAUCGUAAAGCUCUGUUGUUAGAGAAGAACGUUGGUAGGAGUGGAAAAUCUACCAAGUGACGGUAACUAACCAGAAAGGGACGGCUAACUACGUGCCAGCAGCCGCGGUAAUACGUAGGUCCCGAGCGUUGUCCGGAUUUAUUGGGCGUAAAGUGAGCGCAGGCGGUUCUUUAAGUCUGAAGUUAAAGGCAGUGGCUUAACCAUUGUACGCUUUGGAAACUGGAGGGCUUGAGUGCAGAAGGGGGGAGUGGAAUUCCAUGUGUAGCGGUGAAAUGCGUAGAUAUAUGGAGGAACACCGGUGGCGAAAGCGGCUCUCUGGUCUGUAACUGACGCUGAGGCUCGAAAGCGUGGGGAGCAAACAGG
rnacentral:rRNA from 1 species